rnacentral:rRNA from 1 species
ACUCCUACGGGAGGCAGCAGUAGGGAAUCUUCCACAAUGGGCGCAAGCCUGAUGGAGCAACACCGCGUGAGUGAAGAAGGGUUUCGGCUCAUAAAGCUCUGUUGUUAAAGAAGAACACGUAUGAGAGUAACUGUUCAUACGUUGACGGUAUUUAACCAGAAAGUCACGGCUAACUACGUGCCAGCAGCCGCGGUAAUACGUAGGUGGCAAGCGUUAUCCGGAUUUAUUGGGCGUAAAGAGAGUGCAGGCGGUUUUCUAAGUCUGAUGUGAAAGCCUUCGGCUUAACCGGAGAAGUGCAUCGGAAACUGGAUAACUUGAGUGCAGAAGAGGGUAGUGGAACUCCAUGUGUAGCGGUGGAAUGCGUAGAUAUAUGGAAGAACACCAGUGGCGAAGGCGGCUACCUGGUCUGCAACUGACGCUGAGACUCGAAAGCAUGGGUAGCGAACA